rnacentral:rRNA from 1 species
AGAAUCAACGCUGGCGGCGUGCCUAACACAUGCAAGUCGAACGAGAAAGGGGAGCAAUCCCUGAGUAAAGUGGCGCACGGGUGAGUAACACGUGACUAACCUACCCUGGAGUGGGGGAUAACUGAGGGAAACCUUAGCUAAUACCGCAUAAUACCUACGGGUCAAAGGAGCAAUUCGCUUCAGGAGGGGGUCGCGGCCGAUUAGUUAGUUGGCGGGGUAAUGGCCCACCAAGACGAUGAUCGGUAU